rnacentral:tRNA from 1 species
GAUCAUAUAGUCUAAGGGGAGGAUACUAGAUUGCAAAUCUAGAGGUGAAUAUAAUUUUAUGAUUU